CCUACGGGUGGCAGCAGUGGGGGAUAUUGCACAAUGGGGGGAACCCUGAUGCAGCGACGCCGCGUGGGUGAAGAAGCGCCUCGGCGCGUAAAGCCCUGUCAGCAGGGAAGAAAAUGACGGUACCUGAAGAAGAAGCCCCGGCUAACUACGUGCCAGCAGCCGCGGGAAUACGUAGGGGGCAAGCGUUAUCCGGAUGAACUGGGUGUAAAGGGGGCGUAGACGGCGAUGCAAGUCAGGAGUGAAAGCCCGGGGGCCAACCCCGGGACUGCUCUGGGAACUGCGUGGCUGGAGUGCAGGAGGGGCAGGCGGAAUUCCUGGUGUAGCGGUGAAAUGCAUAGAUAUCAGGAGGAACACCGGUGGCGAAGGCAGCCUGCUGGACUGCAACUGACGUUGAGGCCCGAAAGCGUGGGGAGCAAACAGGAGUAGAUACCCCUGUAGUC
rnacentral:rRNA from 1 species